GACGAACCGUGCGAACGUUAUUCGGAAUCACUGGACUUAAAGCGCGUGUAGGCGGGACGGCACGUCGGUCGCUGAAAGCCCCCGGCUCAACCGGGGAAGGGGCGCCGAUACGACCGUCCUCGAGGGACGUAGGGGGACCUGGAACUUCCGGUGGAGCGGUGAAAUGCGUUGAGAUCGGAAGGAACGCCCGUGGCGAAAGCGAGGUCCUGGACGUUUACUGACGCUGAGACGCGAAAGCCAGGGGAGCGAACGGG
rnacentral:rRNA from 1 species